UUGUCAGUGAGGUAUAUCCUUACCUGUUCCUCUGCCUGGAGAACAGAGCAUGAUGGCUGGAUUAAAAUCUGUUUUACUUUAAGAAAGCAACUACCCCCAGUAUUUUGUGAU